rnacentral:tRNA from 1 species
UAGCCUAGUGGUUAAGGCUAUGGAUUGCCAAUCCGGAGACGGCGGGUUAGAUUCCCGU